GAAAGCAAACAGAAGCUUUAUUAGGUCUUCUUGAAGGCUGCAACAUUCCUGAAAGUAAUGUUGUUAUCCAUGGAGACGCUAUUACUUGGACAUGCUAUCCCUCUCAUCUAGCCAGGGAAGAAAAAGCAAUUAAGGUAGCUCCUGUGUAGGAUGGGAACUGGAGCAAUACUGCAAGCUGGCAAGAGCCAGACAAGGGAGGUUUUUGAGGGGUUUCUAUAUAUCCUAAAAAAGCUUUGGAAUGUUUUUUUCCUGUUGUCACUCCAGAUGAGUGCUUUAGCUCUUGAAUUUUCCACAGUGAUAGAGAGAUAUCACUGUGAUAGGAGUGAUAGGAGAACCAGACUAGGUCAGUUGAAGAAGGCUAGAUGGAUAUUGCACAGUUUGAAGUCUGAAAGUCUGAAGUCUUUUUUUUUUUUUUUGUAAUAGGAAAAGUUUCAAACAAACCAUUGGGAUUUUAAACUUGUCUGUGAGAUUUCUUUAAAAAUGUGCAUAUAAUUAACUCCAGGAACUCUUUUGCUGAUCUAGCAUUUUCUUGUUAGGAAAACCCAUCAUCAAAUUCCCAAAUAGCCCUGUGAAAGCUGCACCCCACCAGCUUCUAAGUGUGUGCUCUGUAUUGAGGGCUUGAGCAGGACCACAUUGGAGCCAGCUGAGCUGUUGGAAUCUGCCCAAAUCAAGUCCUCAGCCUAUGGGAUACUGGGUAAAUGACCUAGAGGACCAGGAGCCUUGGAGGGCCCUGUUGUGGAUGAGGAUACUGCUGACACAUCUCUGUAUACCAGAAAUGAGCGAAUGGUGAAAGGAAUGAAAGUUCCUGUGUCUUUUCAUAAAAUAAGGGAAAAAAAAACCCCAAAUCCUGUUAUGCUUCUGGCUUUAUUUACUGAUUUACUGAGGCAAUUCAGAAGUAUGUGUACAAUGAAUAGAACUUCCUGUCUUGCAAAUUUCCAUGGGAGGGGCUGGCUCAAGUGACUUUUUCCUAGGCUUCCUUGAAGCCUCGAAAAACUUCGCUAGACAAGCAGUGGUCUGUGGCAUCUGCCCUAACCAGACUGCAGCAAGAGUGGGCAGAGAGCUGACAGAGCCUGGCUUUAGGCCUGGAUGCCUUUAGUUUUAAAGGAUUCUGUGACACACACUGUGCUACCUUUCCCAGUUACAGGGAGCAUUACUUAGGCUGGCUGGGGAGACUGCAGCCAUAGGAGAUGUUUGCUCAUGCAACAGCUUCACUAACUUCUUGGUCUAAAGCAUAAAAGUGGAUCAUGCUCACUCCAAUUACUGCUGAAGAUGAUGCUCUGCACUAGAAAAGUGGAAUAAUUACAUCAUCAAGUUACUGUGUGUCAACUGCAGGGUGAUGGUUUUCUUGAAGAAAAGAUCAGUGGCCAGCAUAGCUUGGAAAAUAAGGUAUUAAAGCCAGAAAAGAGCUCAUCAAGCCGCAGCCACUGCCUACGUGGACAAAGCAACCAGCUGGGUACUUGGACAAAGGAAAAGGAGGCAAUAUGGCCAGUCAAGGUCAGAGCACAAUCACUGCAGAGACUAAAUGCUCCAGUGGAUCAGAAAGGCAAGGUAAAGUUCCUUAAAAAAACAGUGCUAUUAAAAGGGCUGUGUGGCAGCUGCCUGACUUAACCAUUUUGACAGCAGUUGCCAAUAGAGAACAGCA